UACGUAGGGUGCGAGCGUUAAUCGGGAUUACUGGGCGUAAAGCGUGCGCAGGCGGUUUUGUAAGCCAGAUGUGAAAGCCCCGGGCUUAACCUGGGAAUGGCAUUUGGGACUGCAAGGCUUGAGUGCGGCAGAGGAGACUGGAAUUCCUGGUGUAGCAGUGAAAUGCGUAGAUAUCAGGAGGAAUACCGAUGGCGAAGGCAGGUCUCUGGGCUGACACUGACGCUCAUGCACGAAAGCGUGGGGAGCAAACAGG
rnacentral:rRNA from 1 species